UAAAUACUCUCGGACGCUCCACCAGUCUCCUGGAGAAAUCAAAAUCAGUUCAGAGAGAGUGAGUGAGUGAGAGAGAGGGAGAGCGCGAGAGAGAGAUCUCGAUUCUAACGGCGGCGAGGGAGAGAGAGAGAGAGAGACCGUUCGAUCCUAAUGGCGGCGAGAGAGAAAGAGACCGUUCGAUCCUAACGGCGGCGAGAGAGAGAGAGAGCAAGCGGACCUGAAGAACAUGUCAGAGGAGGUGUUUUGUGUUCGUGGACGAGGACUGACGAUAAUUUGAUUCGACUCAGCACAAACACGGUCGCCGGCGGGCGUGCGUGUUCGGUGACUCAAACUGAUCGAUUACAAAACAAAAAGGGUUAGGGUUGAUAACGUAGCUAGCACUACCAGAGGUUUGUGUCUGUGGCUGUGUGUUCCGGAGGGGACUUAUCUGGUAAGCAGGUUUGCUUAAAAAGCUUGAAGCUGUAUAAGAUUGGAGAUAUGCUAUGGGUUUGAAGAAUGAAGAAGGUUCAGAACCGAAAAGGUAAAACAUCAAACUGAUUCAAUUUUAUAAACUGUAAUGCACUUUCAGAUACUCGAAGAGCACGACCUCUUAAGAGAGCUAAAUGGUGUCAUAAAGCAGGUUUUCAUAAAGUGGAUGUGUUUGAAAGGCGUGAAGCUAAGUGUAAGGCUGAAGGGAAAGAAGAAGGAGAAAAUGAUGAAGAAGUUGAAGAAUCAGAGGGAGAAGAAUCUGAUUACAGAGGUUAUUAUCAGAAUCAAGACUUCAAUGAUGAUGGUGACAGACGAUUAUAAUCAGGCAGAUGAUGGAGGGAUAAUAUGGGGAUAUUAAAUAGUGGGUUUCUUUCUUUCUUUGGGCUGAAACAGGUGUGUGUUCGUGUUUUCCAACCAAGACGAUGAUUUGAAGGAAGAAGAAGGUUCAUAGCAAAGCAAUCAGAUGAUGCUCUUCUCGGAGCUGUUGGAUGGUUCGUGCGGCUCUUGAAGUGUUUGUCAAUUUUAAGACCGAUAACAGUGUUACCACAAGUGACGAGAGAGUAAACAGGCCUGAACAAGUCAGAGGUGCGGUAAACUUUGUUCAGUUGACAAGGCUACUACUAUCUUGGAGGUCUUUGUAUUCGUGUUCCAGCCAGGACGGACGAUGCUUUCUUGACUCAGAACACGAAAACGGUUGCCGGCGUGUUCUUACAGUAAAACAACAUCAAACUGAUCGAUUAAAAGCAAAGGCGAAAAGAGAGCAAAAACAAGUCAGGGACUCAGGGGUAUCUUUCUAAACUUGAGAGCAACAUCUUUCCAACCAGUACGAUGACCACAAAACGGUCGCCGGCGUGUUCUUACAACACUAACAACAUCAAACUGAUUGAAUUGAAAGAUCGGAGAUAUGCUAUGGUUUGAAGAAUGAAGAAAGAUUCUGAACAAAACAAAAACAAAACCUUCGCCUUGCGGAUCCAAGCAUUCUUGAUGAAUAAUAUCUGGUGGAAGUUUAUGUUUUCGUGUCUUUGCAAGUGAUGGAUGUUCAGAGGUCACAUGACGUUUCUUCUUCAACUCUCAUCUGAUUUGACGAGAAACUCCACAACAAUAAAAAAAAAGAUUCUGUGAAACAUCUCUCCACAUAAAACAACUCAUCACCGGAGGAGAGAA